rnacentral:rRNA from 11 species
UUCCUUGUCGGGUAAGUUCCGACCUGCACGAAUGGCGUAACGACUUCCCCGCUGUCUCCAACAUCGACUCAGCGAAAUUGAAUUACCUGUCAAGAUGCAGGUUUCCCGCGGUUAGACGGAAAGACCCCGUGCACCUUUACUACAACUUCACACUGGCAUCAGGCCAAGCAUGUGCAGGAUAGGUGGUGGGCUUUGAAGCGUGAACGCCAGUUUGCGUGGAGCCUCCCUUGAGAUACCACCCUUGCUUUGCUUGAUGUCUAACCGCGGUCCGUUAUCCGGAUCCGGGACCCUGUGUGGUGGGUAGUUUGACUGGGGCGGUCGCCUCCUAAAGCGUAACGGAGGCGCGCGAAGGUUGGCUCAGAGCGGUCGGAAAUCGCUCGUUGAGUGCAAUGGCAGAAGCCAGCCUGACUGCGAGACUGACAAGUCGAGCAGAGUCGAAAGACGGCCAUAGUGAUCCGGUGGUCCCGAGUGGAAGGGCCAUCGCUCAACGGAUAAAAGGUACGCCGGGGAUAACAGGCUGAUACUGCCCAAGAGUCCAUAUCGACGGCAGUGUUUGGCACCUCGAUGUCGGCUCAUCUCAUCCUGGGGCUGGAGCAGGUCCCAAGGGUACGGCUGUUCGCCGUUUAAAGAGGUACGUGAGCUGGGUUUAGAACGUCGUGAGACAGUUCGGUCUCUAUCUACUGCGGGCGUUAGAGAUUUGAGUGGAUCUGACCCUAGUACGAGAGGACCGGGUUGGACCG